CGGUUAAGUUAGAAAGGGCGCACGGUGGAUGCCUUGGCACUAGGAGCCGAUGAAGGACGGGACGAACACCGAUAUGCUUCGGGGAGCUGUAAGCAAGCUUUGAUCCGGAGAUUUCCGAAUGGGGAAACCCACUGCUCGUAAUGGAGCAGUAUCCAUAUCUGAAUUCAUAGGAUAUGAGAAGGCAGACCCGGGGAACUGAAACAUCUAAGUACCCGGAGGAAGAGAAAGCAAAUGCGAUUCCCUGAGUAGCGGCGAGCGAAACGGGAUUAGCCCAAACCAAGAGGCUUGCCUCUUGGGGUUGUAGGACACUCUGUACGGAGUUACAAAAGAACGAGGUAGAUGAAGAGGUCUGGAAAGGCCCGCCAUAGGAGGUAACAGCCCUGUAGUCAAAACUUCGUUCUCUCCUGAGUGGAUCCUGAGUACGGCGGAACACGUGAAAUUCCGUCGGAAUCCGG
rnacentral:rRNA from 1 species